rnacentral:rRNA from 1 species
GACGAACGCUGGCGGCGUGCCUAAUACAUGCAAGUAGAACGCUGAAGCGAGGAGCUUGCUCUUCUUGGGUGAGUUGCGAACGGGUGAGUAACGCGUAGGUAACCUGCCUUGUAGCGGGGGAUAACUAUUGGAAACGAUAGCUAAUACCGCAUAACAAUGGAUGACACAUGUCAUUUAUGUGAAAGGGGCAAUUGCUCCACUACAAGAUGGACCUGCGUUGUAUUAGCUAGUAGGUGAGGUAAUGGCUCACCUAGGCGACGAUACAUAGCCGACCUGAGAGGGUGCUCGGCCACACUGGGACUGAGACACGGCCCAGACUCCUACGGGAGGCAGCAGUAGGGAAUCUUCGGCGAUGGGGGCAACCCUGACCGAGCAACGCCGCGUGAGUGAAGAAGGUUGUCGGAUCGUAAAGCUCUGUUGUAAGUCAAGAACGGGUGUGAGAGUGGAAAGUUCACACUGUGACGGUAGCUUACCAGAAAGGGACGGCUAACUACGUG